AAUCAACGCUGGCGGCGUGCCUAACACAUGCAAGUCGAACGCGGAAAGCCCCGAAAGGGUGAGUAGAGUGGCAAACGGGUGAGUAACACGUGGGUGACCUGCCUUAGGAGUGGGGGAUAACGUCCCGAAAGGGACGCUAAUACCGCAUAACAUCCUGCCUUUGAAGAGGUGGCGAUCAAAGCUGGGGACCGCAAGGCCUAGCGCUCAAAGAGGGGCCCGNGCCUGAUUAGCUAGNGGUGGGUAAUGGCUCACCAAGGCAACGAUCAGUAUCCGGCCUGAGAGGGCGGACGGACACACUGGGACUGAGACACGGCCAGACUCCUACGGGAGCAGCAGUGGGGAAUUGUCGCAAUGGGCNCAAGCCUGACGACGCAACGCCGCGU
rnacentral:rRNA from 1 species